GUCCUCUUGCUGCCAUUGACAGAAGCAAGUGAGGUCCUCAAAGGUUCGAGAGAAACAUUUCAGGGGCUCUGAAUCCACGGCGAGCAAGGAGGUAUCUGAGGAACAGCUGAGAUGAGGAAACUGAGAUGCAGGGAAGUUAAAAGAUUUACCCAAGAUCACAGAUCUACGGAGACUUAAAGCUCAGGAGGUCAAGUUUCAGAACCCAAGCACUUAACAACCACGCCAGGCGAUUGGAAGGCGUAAAUCCAUUGAGAAAUGACUGCCUCACAACCAUAACAAAAUGGUGGCUAUUUCCACUUUAAUGGGUUCUGUAAAUUUGUGCAACAUUCUCCCUGGAACUGAAUGUGCACCCUCCGUUGUGGGUAGUCCCCAGCUGUCUCUUGUCCUUUGCGACUCAAAGGGUGGUUUGUGGACCAGCAGCAACAGCAUUAUCUGGGAGCUUGUUAGAAAUGCGAAAUCUUAGGCCGCCCCCUGGACCUACUAAAACAGAAUCUGCACUUUACCAAAAUCCCCAGGGGAUUCAAAUACACAUUGACGUUUGCAAAGCACUGGUCUCAAGUGGCUCAGCUUGUGCUCAUCUUCUUCACAUCAAUAGCAAAAGAGUAGGUAUGAUCCUUUGUCUGAAGCCCAGCCUCCUCCUGGGGCUGUUUUAACUAUGGGUAGCUUUUAUGUUACCUCUCAGGAGCUUUGACUCUUGCAGGGUAGAGGGGAGUGCGUGCCACAUUAGCUCCAAGAUUUAGCCCUUCUGGCUUCAGCUACAGCUAUCAUUGCUGGCUCUACAGGCUAAGUGGCCUCAAUAUCACCUUUCUCUCCUCCUCCUCAAUUAAUGUUACUUAUAGAGAGAUGGAGGGGGGGGUGUGUGGUUGGAGAGAAUAAAUGGAAAUCCUUUAGCCUUCCUGUGAGGGCUUAGCUUCUCUGGCACUGCUUCUCUGCAAGAAGUCCCUGAGGCCAGGUUUGUUCAGUUCCUGCCCAGCUCUCAGGUUACAAGGACCAACUUCCUCUGUCCAAUGGGGAUGACUUUGGAUGCCUCCCCAGCCCCCAGUCAAGGGCCACCCAACCUCCAGGUCAAGUGAGAGGGAAGGAAACACAUCUUUCAUGUUCACAGGGUCCUGAUGCUUUGACACUAUGUAUAUGCCCAUGACUUCAAAACUAGUAUCCCCAGCUGUGACGUCCCCUGGGCUCCAGGUUUGGAUUGCCAACUACCUACUUGGCAUCUCUACUUGCAUGUCUAAUGGGCAUCUUACACUUAAAAUGGCCAAAAUAAAACUCGAUUCUGG